rnacentral:rRNA from 1 species
GACGAACCGUGCGAACGUUGUUCGGAAUCACUGGGCUUAAAGGGCGCGUAGGCGGGCCCCCAAGUCCGGGGUGAAAUCCUCCAGCCCAACUGGAGAAGAGCCUCGGAGACUGGGGGCCUCGAGGAGGGUAGGGGCGUGCGGAACUCUGGGUGGAGCGGUGAAAUGCAUUGAUAUCCAGAGGAACUCCGGUGGCGAAAGGCGGCACGCUGGGACCCUUUCUGACGCUGAGGCGCGAAAGCCAG